rnacentral:rRNA from 1 species
CCUACGGGUGGCUGCAGUGGGGAAUAUUGGGCAAUGGGCGCAAGCCUGACCCAGCAAUGCCGCGUGAAGGAAGAAGGCUUUCGGGUUGUAAACUUCUUUGACAGGGGAAGAGCAGAAGACGGUACCCUGAAAACAAGCCACGGCUAACUACGUGCCAGCAGCCGCGGGAAUACGGUGGUGGCAAGCGUUGUCCGGAUUUAGUGGGUGGAAAGGGCGUGUAGCCGGGAAGGCAAGUCAGAUGUGAAAUCUGGAGGCUCAACCUCCAAAUUGUAUUUGAAACUGUUUUUCUUGGGUACUGGAGAGGCAGACGGAUUUCCAUGUGUAGCGGUGAAAUGCGUGGAUAUAAGGAGGAACACCAGUGGCGAAGGCGGUCUGCUGGACAGCAACUGACGGUGAGGAGCGAAAGCGUGGGGAGCAAACAGGAUUAGAUACCCCUUAGUC